rnacentral:rRNA from 1 species
CCGACGGUGAGAGGCGAAAGCUGGGGGAGCAAACCGGAUUAGAUACCCGGGUAGUCCCAGCCGUAAACGAUGUGCGUUAGGUGUAUCGGUGACCACGAGUCACCGAGGUGCCGAAGAGAAAUCGUGAAACGUACCGCUUGGGAAGUACGGUCGCAAGGCUGAAACUUAAAGGAAUUGGCGGGGGAGCGCCACAACAGGUGGAGCCUGCGGUUUAAUCGGACUCAACGCCGGGAAACUCACCAGAUAAGACAGCUGAAUGAUAGUCGGGCUGAAGACUCUACUUGACUAGCUGAGAGGAGGUGCAUGGCCGCCGUCAGCUCGUACCGUGAGGCGUCCUGUUAAGUC